ACGCUCGACACCUACGGGAGGGAGCAGUAGGGAAUCUUCCACAAUGGACGCAAGUCUGAUGGAGCAACGCCGCGUGAGUGAAGAAGGUCUUCGGAUCGUAAAACUCUGUUGUUAGAGAAGAACACGAGUGAGAGUAACUGUUCAUUCGAUGACGGUAUCUAACCAGUAAGUCACGGCUAACUACGUGUCAGCAGCCGCGGUAAUCUGAGCGGGCUGGCAAGGC
rnacentral:rRNA from 1 species